GAUGGAAGAGCAUUUGCUAAGUACACCUAUGUCCUGUAGGCAACACAGGUGUUAACACUUUCUGUGUA
rnacentral:sRNA from 1 species